rnacentral:lncRNA from 1 species
AGCACUCAUAAUAUACCUGUAUAAUACACGAUUGUGCCUAUCAUUUAAAAAUCUUGUGUGUUUUUAUACACUUUAAAAUUAGUAUAAAAUUAUUUUAUUUUUCAUGUAACUUCAUAAAAUAUGUAAAAAAAUUUGUCUCAUUAUAAAGGGUUAAUCACAAAAACUCCCCUAAGGUAUAGCCACUUUUGCUCUUUAUUUCCUAAAGUUAUUUUUUCUUAUCUUAUCCCCUAAACCAUUAGUCAAUUUUAACAUUGUGUAAUAGUGAUGUCAAAAAGAUAUUAAUACCCCUAAGAGUUAACUAAUUUAUUCUAUUACUUAGAUUAAAUAUAUAUAUGUCUGGAUAAAGUAAUGCUAAUGAACUUCAAUUACUGUUAAUGACACUAAUUUUACAUUGAUAAAAGUUGGUCUUGCAAUAAAGUGUAAAUGACAAAAAUUGCUAAAAUAUAGCAUUUUUAAUUUGGAGAAAUCAAAAACUAAGUUCCCAAAAUACUUCACUUUUAUUUUAAAAAAAAAAUCUCAACUUGUUAAUUGAAUUCAAGAUGAUUGUAUUAUAAAAAUAUGCCUCCUCAAAUCAACAUUAAUGAGUAGAUGUGAGAUACAACAUGGUAAAAUAAGUAGAAUUGCACUACUUGUCCCUCACAUAUCAUCGAUGUGAAAAUCUAGUCCCUCAAAAUAAAAAUGAUCAAUCUUAGUUCCUAACAAAUAAAAAAUGAUCCCUUUAAGUCCCCGGUCACUUUUCCAUUCAAUUUUGGGUUAAUUACAUUUACCUCCCUUAAGAUUAGGCCAAACUAACAGAUACCCCUUCAAAUUUAUUACUGUUUAACAAAAGCCACCCUACCGUCUCUAAAACUGUUAGGGAUUCUACUAGUGCCAGCCAAAAAUUAAAGUGAAAGCCCAAAAAUGUCCUUCAAGAUCCACAUGCUAUUAUCUGUCUAUACUUUUAUUCCGAAAAUAGCCUUUUUCAUCCGAAUAAAGAUUAAACAAUGAAAACACUCUAAAAAAAUCCAUCUGAAUGUGGUCUCUUCUAGUUGUGCUUCAGCAUAGAUGGUUAAGGAAAAUGAUCAAUUGUGUUUUUCCAAGUGAUUGAGCACUUAAUUUAUCCUUUGAAUUUUUUUAUUGAAGUUUAAAUCAAUCAAAAUUUGCAAAAUUUUAGUAUUAUAAUGCACAUCUCUAUACCUAGAGAUUAGUCAUUACAAUAGUAUGCCAAACGUGAGAAACUUACUCCAGAACAGCCAAACAUAGCAUCAACAUUUGGAACUAAUCUUCCAAAUUCUCCAAAAAUUACUUACAGAUGAAAUACUCAAGCAUACAUCUGCACCAAAAUGCAUAUUUUUUUCAAAAUAAACAUUACGAGAAAACACGCAAAUGCUCUUCACCAGAAUGCAUAGUUUUAUUACAUCAUUAGCAAUACUAGAUUAAUAGCUGCUGAUGGGACUUAUGAAACAUUGCAUAAGAUCCAGACAGCUAUCCAAUUAUUACUGAUACCACAAAAGACUUGCUAAAAGCAUUAAGUCAACCAAGUUUGCAACCAAAAUAAAGUACUAGGAACAUAGGACUCAAUGCAUAACAUAUUAAGAUGAAAAAGAUUUUCCAACAACUGUGCACAACAGAUGAGGUAAAAGGGCUACUAUUAGAAUGUGCAAAUGUCUCUUCUCCAUUAGAAUUUGCAGCUGGUCUUGUUCCUGCCAUAUAGUUGAAGCCUCCGCAGUAGCUAAUGAAUUAGGAGCAACAUUCAAUGCUGAGGUUGUGGUAGCUUUUGCCUUCAACACCUUUCUCGCAAAUCAUUACCCAGUAGUAGCAUGGAUGCACGUGAACUUCCAAACAUCUUUUCUAAUGCUCUAGUAUUGGUACCACUUAUGUAAUCUAUUGACCCUUGAAGUAUGAAAGCCUUUAAAUAAAUUAGUGAAAAGUCCAUUUAUUGUUCACAUAAUUCUUUAGAGAGUAAGUAAUAUAACCUGAGAAGUCUGAACAGAUUCCUGUGUUCCUUCAAAAGGCAGUUAUCUGCAAUUAACACCUAUGUUCCUCCAUGAAAUAGUCCACGUGCAGCAGCUGUUGUUGCCUCAGAUUGUUAUCCAGACAUUUUAGAACACAUUUCAUUUUUGUCAAGAUUCAGCUUCAGGGAAAAUGAAAUGCUAAAGUGAGUAAAUAUUAAUGAGUUUAAAGAUGUACCAUCCUUCCAAGCUCUCGUCACUUCAACAAGCCAAACAAUACUACUACAAUCUUCUGUUUUGUUUUGGUUAUCAACGGGAUUAGAAAGUAAAAUAUUUGAAUAAACAAGAAUGAGUAGAAUGAUCAAAGUUUAAAGAUCAAAGCUUUGAACCAUGCAGAGUAGAAAGGGUUAAUAUAGGGGAGAGAGAGUGUAGGAGUAUGAUGAUAAUUCGGAUGAUUGCUGGAAUAGUGGCUGGAGUAGUGGCAAAUAUAUAGGAGACUUCUAUA